ACUGGAAGGUCCCUAAACCGAAAGGGGCUCUGCCCGCCCGAGGAUGGGCCGGCGGCCGAUUAGGUAGUUGGUGGGGUAACGGCCCACCAAGCCCAUAAUCGGUACGGGCAGUGAGAGCUGGAGCCCGGAGAUGGACACUGAGACACGGGUCCAGGCCCUACGGGGCGCAGCAGGCGCGAAACCUCCGCAAUGCUCGAAAGAGCGACGGGGGGACCCCAAGUGCCGUGGUACAACCACGGCUUUUCCGGAGUGUAAGAAGCUCCGGGAAUAAGGGCUGGGCAAGGCCGGUGGCAGCCGCCGCGGUAAUACCGGCGGCCCGAGUGGUGGCCACUAUUAUUGGGCCUAAAGCGUCCGUAGCCGGGCUUGUAAGUCCCUGGCGAAAUCCCACGGCUCAACCGUGGGGCUUGCUGGGGAUACUGCAAGCCUUGGGACCGGGAGAGGCCGGGGGUACUCCUGGGGUAGGGGUGAAAUCCUAUAAUCCCAGGAGGACCGCCAGUGGCGAAGGCGCCCGGCUGGAACGGGUCCGACGGUGAGGGACGAAGGCCAGGGGAGCAAACCGGAUUAGAUACCCGGGUAGUCCUGGCCGUAAACGAUGUGAACUUGAUAUUGGGAUGGCUACGGGCUGUCCCAGUGUCGUAGGGAAGCCGUUAAGU
rnacentral:rRNA from 1 species